AACAGGAUUAGAUACCCUGGUAGUCCACGCCCUAAACGAUGUCUACUAGUUGUCGGGUCUUAAUUGACUUGGUAACGCAGCUAACGCGUGAAGUAGACCGCCUGGGGAGUACGGUCGCAAGAUUAAAACUCAAAGGAAUUGACGGGGACCCGCACAAGCGGUGGAUGAUGUGGAUUAAUUCGAUGCAACGCGAAAAACCUUACCUACCCUUGACAUGGCUGGAAUCCUUGAGAGAUCAGGGAGUGCUCGAAAGAGAACCAGUACACAGGUGCUGCAUGGCUGUCGUCAGCUCGUGUCGUGAGAUGUUGGGUUAAGUCCCGCAACGAGCGCAACCCUUGUCAUUAGUUGCUACAAAAGGGCACUCUAAUGAGACUGCCGGUGACAAACCGGAGGAAGGUGGGGAUGACGUCAAGUCCUCAUGGCCCUUAUGGGUAGGGCUUCACACGUCAUACAAUGGUACAUACAGAGCGCCGCCAACCCGCGAGGGGGAGCUAAUCGCAGAAAGUGUAUCGUAGUCCGGAUUGUAGUCUGCAACUCGACUGCAUGAAGUUGGAAUCGCUAGUAAUCGCGGAUCAGCAUGUCGCGGUGAAUACGUUCCCGGGUCUUGUACACACCGCCCGUCACACCAUGGGAGCGGGUUUUACCAGAAGUAGGUAGCUUAACCGUAAGGAGGGCGCUUACCACGGUAGGAUUCGUGACUGGGGUGAAGUCGUAACAAGGUAACC
rnacentral:rRNA from 1 species